rnacentral:rRNA from 1 species
GGCGCUUCAUAUCCACCUAGAGGAGCCUGUUCUAGAACCGAUAAUCCCCGUUCAACCUCACCUUUUCUUGUUCUUCCAGCCUAUAUACCGCCGUCGUCAGCCCACCCUGUGAAGGACUCGCAGUGAGCAAAACUGGUAUUAACCCAAAACGUCAGGUCGAGGUGUAGCGAAUGAAAAGGGAAGAAAUGGGCUACAAUUGCUGAAACAGCUAAAACGAAUUGUCACGCUGAAACGCGGGCAUGAAGGAGGAUUUAGUAGUAAGGGGGGAUAAGUAGAGCGCCCCCCUGAAAUGGCCCUGAAGCGUGUACACACCGCCCGUCACUCUCCCCAAAUUAGACCAACAACCGUAAAUAAAACAUUCACCUAAAUAAAGGGGAGGCAAGUCGUAACAUGGUAAGUGUACCGGAAGGUGUACUUGGAAUAU